GGAGUUAGGGGUGAGAGAUGAGUGAGAACCAGCCCUGCAGACCCCAAGGUCAGUGCAGAAGGAGGGCAGGAGGUGCGCCAGGCACCAGAACAGAAGUUCCCCUGAGGCCCGUGGAGAGGUCCCUGGUGGAGAAGGCUGUCCCCCUGCAGUCCAUGGGUCCCACAUGAAGCAGAUCUCCAUGCUGCAGCCCGUGGAGGAGCCCCCAGUGGAGCAGGUGGAUGUGGCCUGGAGGAGGUUGUGGCCCAUGGAGAGCCCCACAGGAGCAGGGCCCUGGACCGGAGCUGCAACCCGUGGAGAGGAGCCCACACAGGAGCAGGGAGUCUGGGGGGGGAGCUGCCACCAGUGGGGACCCAUGCUGGAGCAGUUUACUCCUGGGGGAUGGACCCCAUGCUAAGGACCCAUGAUGGAGAGGUUC